rnacentral:rRNA from 1 species
AUUGAACGCUGGCGGCAGGCCUAACACAUGCAAGUCGAGCGAGCGGCGGACGGGUGAGUAAUGUAUGGGGACUGCCCGAUAGAGGGGGAUAACUACUGGAAACGGUGGCUAAUACCGCAUACUAUCGGAUAACCCAUAUGGGAUUAGCUAGUAGGUUGGGUAAAGGCUCACCUAGGCGACGAUCUCUAGCUGGUCUGAGAGGAUGAUCAGCCACACUCGGACUGAGACGCGGCCCAGAAUCCUACGGAGGCAGCAGUGAAGAAUAUUGCGCGAUUGGCGCAAGCCUAAUUCAACCAUACCGCGUGUAUGAAGAAGGACUUAGGGUUGUAAAGUACUUUCAGCGGAGAGGCGUUACCCGCAGAAGAAGCACCGGCUAACUCCGUGCCAGCAGCCGCGGUAAUAC